rnacentral:rRNA from 1 species
CUACGGGGGGCAGCAGUGGGGAAUAUUGCACAAUGGGCGCAAGCCUGAUGCAGCCAUGCCGCGUGUAUGAAGAAGGCCUUCGGGUUGUAAAGUACUUUCAGCGGGGAGGAAGGGAGUAAAGUUAAUACCUUUGCUCAUUGACGUUACCCGCAGAAGAAGCACCGGCUAACUCCGUGCCAGCAGCCGCGGUAAUACGGAGGGGUGCAAGCGUUAAUCGGAAUUACUGGGCGUAAAGCGCACGCAGGCGGUUUGUUAAGUCAGAUGUGAAAUCCCCGGGCUCAACCUGGGAACUGCAUCUGAUACUGGCAAGCUUGAGUCUCGUAGAGGGGGGUAGAAUUCCAGGUGUAGCGGUGAAAUGCGUAGAGAUCUGGAGGAAUACCGGUGGCGAAGGCGGCCCCCUGGACGAAGACUGACGCUCAGGUGCGAAAGCGUGGGGAGCAAACAGGAUUAGAUACCCCUGUAGUC